rnacentral:tRNA from 1 species
AAGACCACCCAAAAGGCUGCUAACCUUUACAUAAUGGUCACCAUUUGGUCUUU